rnacentral:lncRNA from 1 species
CAGAGCCAUCUCAUAGGAAUCCUUGAAAGUUGAUGCAUUUAAAACUAGCAUUUUUCACCUUUAAAUUUUGGAAUGCAUGAUGUCUAACAUUGGUUUGCUAUUAGGUAGUGGUAGAACAUACAUGCAAAAUUUAUACAUCACAAAAUAAAAUUUUUGACUGAAAAAAUAAUAAAUACCACUUACUAGAAAAUGAGGCCAGUUGGAAAAGCGUGCAGCAGAGUGGAGGGUCGGAUGAAGGGCU